rnacentral:rRNA from 1 species
GAUGAACGCUGGCGGCGUGCCUAAUACAUGCAAGUCGAGCGAAUGGAUUAAGAGCUUGCUCUUAUGAAGUUAGCGGCGGACGGGUGAGUAACACGUGGGUAACCUGCCCAUAAGACUGGGAUAACUCCGGGAAACCGGGGCUAAUACCGGAUAACAUUUUGAACCGCAUGGUUCGAAAUUGAAAGGCGGCUUCGGCUGUCACUUAUGGAUGGACGCGCGUCGCAUUAGCUAGUUGGUGAGGUAACGGCUCACCAAGGCAACGAUGCGUAGCCGACCUGAGAGGGUGAUCGGCCACACUGGGACUGAGACACGGCCCAGACUCCUACGGGAGGCAGCAGUAGGGAAUCUUCCGCAAUGGACGAAAGUCUGACGGAGCAACGCCGCGUGAGUGAUGAAGGCUUCCGGGUCGUAAAACUCUGUUGUUAGGGAAGAACAAGUGCUAGUUGAAUAAGCUGACACCUUGACGGUACCUAACCAGAAAGCCACGGCUAACUACGUGCCAGCCGCCGCGGUAA